UUGAACGCUGGCGGCAUGCCUUACACAUGCAAGUCGAGCGGCAGCGCGGGGGCAACCCUGGCGGCGAGCGGCGGACGGGUGAGUAACACAUCGGAACGUGUCCUGUCGUGGGGGAUAACCAGUCGAAAGAUUGGCUAAUACCGCAUGAGAUCGAAAGAUGAAAGCGGGGGACCGCAAGGCCUCGCGCGACUGGAGCGGCCGAUGUCGGAUUAGCUAGUUGGCGGGGUAAGAGCCCACCAAGGCUACGAUCCGUAGCUGGUUUGAGAGAACGACCAGCCACACUGGGACUGAGACACGGCCCAGACUCCUACGGGAGGCAGCAGUGGGGAAUUUUGGACAAUGGGCGCAAGCCUGAUCCAGCCAUGCCGCGUGUGUGAAGAAGGCCUUCGGGUUGUAAAGCACUUUCGGCCGGAACGAAAUCGCCCGAGUCAAUAGCGAGGGUGGAUGACGGUACCGGAAGAAGAAGCACCGGCUAACUACGU
rnacentral:rRNA from 1 species